rnacentral:rRNA from 1 species
UACGUAGGGUGCAAGCGUUGUCCGGAAUUAUUGGGCGUAAAGAGCUCGUAGGCGGUUUGUCGCGUCGACUGUGAAAACCCGAGGCUUAACCUCGGGCCUGCAGUCGAUACGGGCAGACUAGAGUUCGGUAGGGGAGACUGGAAUUCCUGGUGUAGCGGUGAAAUGCGCAGAUAUCAGGAGGAACACCGAUGGCGAAGGCAGGUCACUGGGCCGCAACUGACGCUGAGGAGCGAAAGCAUGGGGAGCGAACAGG